GACGAACUGUCCAAACGUUGUUCGGAAUCACUGGGCUUAAAGGGCGCGUAGGCGGUCUGCCAAGUCGGGGGUGAAAUCCUGCAGCUUAACUGUAGAAGUGCCUUCGAUACUGGCAGUCUGGAGGGAGAUAGGGGUGUGUGGAACUUCCAGUGGAGCGGUGAAAUGCGUUGAUAUUGGAAGGAACGCCGGAGGCGAAAGCGACGCACUGGAUCUCUUCUGACGCUGAGGCGCGAAAGCUAGGGGAGCAAACGG
rnacentral:rRNA from 1 species